rnacentral:rRNA from 1 species
AGUCGACGGAGAUAUUCGCUGAUGAGUACUUCGGUAAUGAUUCUUGGAUAUCUUAGUGGCGGACGGGUGAGUAACGCGUGAGCAACCUGCCUUUCAGAGGGGGAUAACGUUCGGAAACGAACGCUAAUACCGCAUGACAUUGUUGAGUCGCAUGACUUGAUAAUCAAAGGAGCAAUCCGCUGAAAGAUGGGCUCGCGUCCGAUUAGGUAGUUGGUGGGGCAACGGCCCACCAAGCCGACGAUCGGUAGCCGGACUGAGAGGUUGAACGGCCACAUUGGGACUGAGACACGGCCCAGACUCCUACGGGAGGCAGCAGUGAGGGAUAUUGGUCAAUGGGGGAAACCCUGAACCAGCAACGCCGCGUGAGGGAAGACGGUUUUCGGAUUGUAAACCUCUGUCCUCUGUGAAGAUAAUGACGGUAGCAGAGGAGGAAGCUCCGGCUAACUACGUGCCAGCAGCCGCGGUAAUACGUAGGGAGCAAGCGUUGUCCGGAUUUACUGGGUGUAAAGGGUGCGUAGGCGGCUUUGCAAGUCAGAAGUGAAAUCCAUGGGCUUAACCCAUGAACUGCUUUUGAAACUGCAGAGCUUGAGUGGAGUAGAGGUAGGCGGAAUUCCCGGUGUAGCGGUGAAAUGCGUAGAGAUCGGGAGGAACACCAGUGGCGAAGGCGGCCUACUGGGCUUUAACUGACGCUGAGGCACGAAAGCGUGGGUAGCAAACAGGAUUAGAUACCCUGGUAGUCCACGCUGUAAACGAUGAUUACUAGGUGUGGGUGGACUG